UCUGGGAAGAAUUCAGAACCCUAUCCAAGGAAGCCUGGAGUAGUCAGGACCUCUCUCAUUAUCCCCUGCCAAUCUCCAAUGUCAUAUCUUUACCUCUGUUUCCCCUCUAAGCCAGUAUCUUCCUCCUUGGGCUGUGUUCUCUUGUUCUGCACCAGCCACUUCUGAGGGCAUGUUUUGUGGCUGCUGAUUCUGGGACACCCCUCCUGCUAUUGGACACUCAACUCGAAUUCCAUACAGACCUCCCUCCUCUUGAUAAACAAGGCCACGGAAACACCGUUAAACACAAGCGUGUUCAUUCAAAGAAGCUGCAGGUUUUGGUGGUCCAGUGGGCAAAGCACUUACCGUGGAAGUCUGAGGACCAGAAGAGACAUUCCUCAGAAGCUUUCAGGACUGCUGUAGACAGUGCUGAGCAAACCUGGAGGAGCAGAAAUGACAGAGACUGUACCAAGGCUUUAAUGCAAGUUGCAUCCUGAUUCCCUGGCUGAGAGUGACAACAGAGCCAUAGUCAGCUCUUCCUGGGGUGAGACUUCACCUUGGAGCAGGCUCCUUCCUACCCAGCCCCAUGAAGGUGAGAACUUCAAAUCUCCUUCUUUGUCUUUUGAAAGAAAAAUGCACCCAAAUGGAAUGUUUACCCCCUAAAUCUACAAACUCAACAAAAAUCUGUUCUUCUAGGUGACUUUGACUGGCACCUUUUUCUUCUAAAACAGAAUGAGUAGAGACAAUUUUGUGAUCAUCGCUGCCCCAGACCAAAUGCAUCAUCCAACCAAGAAGGGCAGCGUGGGAACUGGGACCCACCUAAAAAACAUCAGGGAACCAGUUUGGGCCUCGUCAGCCUUGCUUCCUGCAAAAGUUACAGAAUGCUAAUCUACCUGAGAGGCUUAGCGGGACCUCGGGCAUUAUCAAACCUUUAGCCCAGACAGAGCUCUGCACCACAGAGCCAGAACAAAGUGAUUUAUUUAAGUGAAUGACCACAGCUUUUGGGCCUUGAUGAUGUCUGUUUUUAAGCUCAGUCUGCAAUGAAUUGAGGUCUACGAGGGAAAUCGAAAGCUUUUAUGCUGGGUUGAGAGGGGCUUGCUCUCACCUCGUUAAGUUCGUCUCUCUAAAAGCACAUAACUUACUUUCAAUAUUGUCCAAUCGCCUUCCUCUGGACGUGGAGAGAUUUCCAUUCUGUCCCCAUGACACAUCCAAAUAAAACACUGCUUCAGCCA